AUACUUAGCUGGCACAGGAGUGUUUUCCCAGGGCAAGGCUUAUCCAUUGCACUCUGGAUAUGCUGACCCCUGUGAUUUCCCCAAAUGUGGGAAAAUUGACUGCAUAAUUUGUGGUAGCAGGGGACUGCAUUAGUUCUCUCCCUUC
rnacentral:snRNA from 1 species